AUGUUAGUCUAUGAGAAAGAAUAUAUGGCUAUCUUGUUAGCAGUGGAGCAGUGGAGACCUUAUUUGCAGAUGCAACAUUUUGCUAUCAAAACUGACCAGAAGAGUUUAGUCCAUUUGCAGAGUCAAAAGUUUAUCACUGCUUGGCAGCAGAAAGCACUUACCAAGUUGAUGGGGUUGGAUUAUCAAAUUGCUUAUAAGAAGGGGACUGAGAAUUCGGCAGCAGAUGCUCUGUCCAGAAGACCACCAGAGAAGCAAUUGUUCUCUGUUUCCAAGGUACAGCCUGUGUGGAUGGCAGAAAUUAGUGACAGUUACAAUGGUGAUAAGACAGCUACUGAACUUUUUCAACAGUUAGCUCUUGAUCCUACUUCCAAACCUAAUCACCAGCUACUCCAAGGGAUAAUUAGAUACAAAGGAGCUAUCUGGAUUGGUAAUAAGCUGGACCUUCAUAACAAGAUCUUUGCUGCUUUCCAUGACAGUCCAGUUGGUGGUCAUUCAGGAUUCCCUGUCACCUAUCGCAGAAUUCACUCCCUCUUUAGGUCGUCGGGAAUGAAGAAAUUUAUUAGAGAAAAGUCCAAUCAUGUCUCACUUGCCAGCAAGCUAAGCCAGAAAGGGUUAAUUACCCCGGGUUGCUGUCCCCACUGCUAG
rnacentral:rRNA from 1 species